rnacentral:snRNA from 1 species
GGAUGUGAGGGCAAUCUGGCUGCGACAUCUGUCACCCCAUUGAUCGCCAGGGUUGAUUCGGCUGAUCUGGCUGGCUAGGCGGGUGUCCCCUUCCUCCCUCACAGCUCCAUGUGCGUCCCUCCCGAAGCUGCGUGCUCGGUCGAAGAGGACGACCUUCCCCGCUAGAGGAGGACCGGUCUUUGGUCAAGGGUAUACGAGUAGCUGCGCUCCCCUGCUAGAACCUCCAAACAAGCUCUCAAAGACCCUCUCUCUUUCUUCUCCUCUGUCUGCCUCCUGACCUUCCCUGCUGCUUCCCAGUGUGGCCUGGGAUGGCUUGGCAUG